rnacentral:rRNA from 1 species
CCUACGGGUGGCAGCAGUGGGGAAUAUUGCACAAUGGGGGAAACCCUGCUGUAGCGACGCCGCGUGAGUGAAGAAGUAUUUCGGUAUGUAAAGCUCUAUCAGCAGGGAAGAAAAAAGACGGUACCUGACUAAGAAGCCCCGGCUAACUACGUGCCAGCAGCCGCGGUAAUACGUUGGGGGCAAGCGUUAUCCGGAUUUACUGGGUGUAAAGGGGGAGUAGACGGCGCGGCAAGUCUGAAGUGAAAGGUAGGGGCUUAACCCCUGUACUGCUUUGGAAACUGCCAUGCUAGAGUGCGGGAGAGGUAAGUGGAAUGCGUGGUGUAGCGGUGAAAUGCGUAGAUAUUAGGAGGAACACCAGUGGCGAAGGCGGCCUACUGGACAGUAACUGACGUUGAGGCUCGAAAGCGUGGGGAGCAAACAGGAUUAGAUACCCGAGUAGUC